rnacentral:rRNA from 1 species
GAGAGAGAGACAUGCGCGCAUAUCAAUAAGCGGAGGAAAAGAAACUAACAAGGAUUCCCCUAGUAACGGCGAGUGAAGCGGGAAGAGCUCAAAUUUGAAAUCUUAAAGGGUUUCCCUUUACGAAUUGUAGUUUAAAGAAGUGUUUUCUGUUGAGGUUUUGGUAAAAGUUCUUUGGAAUAGGACAUCAUAGAGGGUGAGAAUCCCGUAUUUGACCUUUACUUUCAACUUUGUGAUACACUUUCAAAGAGUCGGAUUGUUUGGGAAUGCAGUCCAAAAUGGGUGGUAAAUUUCAUCUAAAGCUAAAUAUUGGCGAGAGACCGAUAGCGAACAAGUACCGUGAGGGAAAGAUGAAAAGAACUUUGAAAAGAGAGUUAAACAGUACGUGAAAUUGUCAAAAGGGAAGCGUUUGACACCAGUGUUGUUUUUCUGAAAAUCAAUUAAAGAACUGUUUAUGCUAAGUUGUUUAGACUUUAUCAGCUAACUGUUUAGUUUUGAGCUUUUCUUUAAUGCACUUUUCAGUUAACAAGUCAACAUCAAUUUCUUUUACUGUAAAAAAGCUUGAGGAAGGUGGCUUGAGAUUCGUCUUAAGUGUUUAUAGCCUCUUGCCUAUGCAGUCGGAGAGAUUGAGGUCUGCAGCGUAGAUCCUUCGGGGCUAAAUGCAUUUGUGCUAAGUUAUAGCAUUUUAUAGACAACUUGUUGACUAUGAUUUGUCUUGUAGCUUACUCGCUUAUGUUAUUUUACCUACGCUUAGGAUGUUGAAGACUCUACAGAGAUA